rnacentral:rRNA from 1 species
AUUGAACGCUGGCGGCAGGCCUAACACAUGCAAGUCGAGCGGAUGAAGGGAGCUUGCUCCUGGAUUCAGCGGCGGACGGGUGAGUAAUGCCUAGGAAUCUGCCUGGUAGUGGGGGAUAACGUCCGGAAACGGGCGCUAAUACCGCAUACGUCCUGAGGGAGAAAGUGGGGGAUCUUCGGACCUCACGCUAUCAGAUGAGCCUAGGUCGGAUUAGCUAGUUGGUGGGGUAAAGGCCUACCAAGGCGACGAUCCGUAACUGGUCUGAGAGGAUGAUCAGUCACACUGGAACUGAGACACGGUCCAGACUCCUACGGGAGGCAGCAGUGGGGAAUAUUGGACAAAGGGCGAAAGCCUGAUCCAACCAUGCCGCGUGUGUGAAGAAGGUCUUCGGAUUGUAAAGCACUUUAAGUUGGGAGGAAGGGCAGUAAGUUAAUACCUUGCUGUUUUGACGGUACCAACAGAAUAAGCACCGGCUAACUUCGUG